rnacentral:tRNA from 1 species
GGGGAUAUAGCUCAGUUGGUAGAGUACUUGCCUUGCAUGCAUAAGGCCCUGGGUUCAAUCCCCAGCACCACCA